UCCCAGUUCGGAUUGCAGGCUGCAACCCGCCUGCAUGAAGCUGGAAUCGCUAGUAAUCGCGGAUCAGAAUGCCGCGGUGAAUACGUUCCCGGGUCUUGUACACACCGCCCGUCACACCAUGGGAGUCGGUAACGCCCGAAGUCAGUGACCCAACCGAGAGGAGGGAGCUGCCGAAGGCGGGACUGGUAACUGGGGUGAAGUCGUAACAAGGUAUC
rnacentral:rRNA from 1 species